UGGCGGACGGGUGAGUAACGCGUGGGUAACCUGCCUCAUACAGGGGGAUAACAGUUAGAAAUGACUGCUAAUACCGCAUAAGCGCACAGUACCGCAUGGUACCGUGUGAAAAACUCCGGUGGUAUGAGAUGGACCCGCGUCUGAUUAGGUAGUUGGUGGGGUAACGGCCUACCAAGCCGACGAUCAGUAGCCGGCCUGAGAGGGUGAACGGCCACAUUGGGACUGAGACACGGCCCAAACUCCUACGGGAGGCAGCAUG
rnacentral:rRNA from 1 species